AGGUGUUCUUCAGCAACAUGGUUCAUGCCAUUAGUGGGGUGGAGUAUCCUGGUCUCAGGAACCCAAAAUGCACUGAAGGAGCAAAACUGCAACCCACCCAAUGCAAUUCCUGUAAACACAAUGUGCCAAGAUUUCCAACAAGCACCAUCUCUGGCAACCACAAUCAUUCCCAUUCCACUGAAACUGGUCAGAAUGAUUUUGGAGAAUUGGACAGCCCCUGGUCUUUCUGAGGAAGGAAAAAGCAGCUCAGCUGAGAUGUGCCAAGCUGCUUGUAAACAACGUGGGCCUUUGUUAAAUUGUCGGGUGUUUGUGAGCCUUUGAAGAUUGCUGUGCUCCA